AUUGAACGCUGGCGGCAGGCCUAACACAUGCAAGUCGAGCGAGCGGCGGACGGGGGAGUAAUGUAUGGGGACUGCCCGAUAGAGGGGGAUAACUACUGGAAACGGUAGCUAAUACCGCAUACGAUCGGAUAACCCAGAUGGGAUUAGCUAGUAGGUGAGGUAAUGGCUCACCUAGGCGACGAUCCCUAGCUGGUCUGAGAGGAUGAUCAGCAACACUGGGACGGAGACACGGCACAGUCUCCUACGGAGGCCGAAGUGGGAAAUGUUGCACAGUGGGCGCAAGCAUGAUGAAGCCAGGCCGUGUGUAUGAAGAAGGCCCUAGGGGUGAAAAGUACUUUCAGUCGGGAGGCGUUACCGAGAGAAGAAGCACUGGCUAACUCCGUGCCAGCAGCCGCGGUAAUAC
rnacentral:rRNA from 1 species